UACGGAGGGUGCAAGCGUUAUCCGGAUUUACUGGGUUUAAAGGGUGCGUAGGUGGGUCUGUAAGUCAGUGGUGAAAUCUCCGGGCUUAACUCGGAAACUGCCAUUGAUACUAUAGAUCUUGAAUUAUCUGGAGGUGAGCGGAAUAUGUCAUGUAGCGGUGAAAUGCUUAGAUAUGACAUAGAACACCAAUUGCGAAGGCAGCUCACUACGGAUUUAUUGACACUGAGGCACGAAAGCGUGGGGAUCAAACAGG
rnacentral:rRNA from 1 species